GACGAACGCUGGCGGCGUGCCUAAUACAUGCAAGUCGAGCGGACGGAUGGGAGCUUGCUCCCAGACCGUCAGCGGCGGACGGGUGAGUAACACGUGGGCAACCUGCCUGUAAGACUGGGAUAACUCCGGGAAACCGGGGCUAAUACCGGAUAACUCUUUCCCUCACAUGAGGGAAAGCUGAAAGAUGGCAUCUCGCUAUCACUUACAGAUGGGCCCGCGGCGCAUUAGCUAGUUGGUGAGGUAACGGCUCACCAAGGCGACGUUGCGUAGCCGACCUGAGAGGGUGAUCGGCCAAACUGGGACUGAGACACGGCCCAGAGUCCUACGGGAGGCAGCAGUAGGGAAUCUUCGGCGAUGGACGAAAGUCUGACGGAGCAACGCCGCAUGAGUGAUGAAGGUUUUCGGAUCGUAAAACUCUGUUGUCAGGGAAGAACAAGUACCGGAGUAACUGCCGGUACCUUGACGGUACCUGACCAGAAAGCCACGGCUAACUACGUG
rnacentral:rRNA from 1 species